GUAGGUGAACCUGCGGAAGGAUCAUUAUCGAGUUAGGGUCCUCUGGGCCCCACCUCCAACCCUUGUCUAUUCUACCACGUUGCUUUGGCGGGCCCGUCCUUGUCCGGACCGCCGGGGAUUCACGUCCCUGGCCCGCGCCCGUCAGCAGCCCCCCCCCAAACUUCUCUGAAUCGUGAUGUCUAAGCAAACUAUAAUAACGAAAAACUUUCAACAACGGAUCUCUUGGUUCUGGCAUCGAUGAAGAACGCAG
rnacentral:misc_RNA from 1 species